UGGUUCAUAUGAUGGCGGGCUGGACCUCUCGGGGUUACAGCCUUGCUGAAUUAUUCACCCUUGUCUUUUGCGUACUUCUUGUUUCCUUGGUGGGUUCGCCCACCACUAGGACAAACAUAAACCUUUUGUAAUUGCAAUCAGCGUCAGUAACAAAUUAAUAAUUACAACUUUCAACAACGGAUCUCUUGGUUCUGGCAUCGAUGAAGAACGCAGCGAAAUGCGAUAAGUAGUGUGAAUUGCAGAAUUCAGUGAAUCAUCGAAUCUUUGAACGCACAUUGCGCCCUUUGGUAUUCCAAAGGGCAUGCCUGUUCGAGCGUCAUUUGUACCCUCAAGCUUUGCUUGGUGUUGGGCGUCUUGUCUCUAGCUUUGCUGGAGACUCGCCUUAAAGUAAUUGGCAGCCGGCCUACUGGUUUCGGAGCGCAGCACAAGUCGCACUCUCUAUCAGCAAAGGUCUAGCAUCCAUUAAGCCUUUUUUUCAACUUUUGACCUCGGAUCAGGUAGGGAUACCCGCUGAACUUAAGCAUAUCAAUAAGCGGAGGAA
rnacentral:rRNA from 1 species